GCCAAGCGGUGAUGAUGACGACAUAAUGUCUCUUUCCUGAUAAUGACUGAUGGUUUUAAGUCACUACCUCAUCUGAGCUUGUG